rnacentral:rRNA from 1 species
UGGAAGUAAAAGUCGUAACAAGGUUUCUGUAGGUGAACCUGCAGAAGGAUCAUUAUUUAUACAAAAUGGAGUGCACUUUAUUGUGGCUCUGAACCUUUCACAUAAUCUUACCCCAAGACUUGUUUGUGUGGCAUCUUUUAGGUGACAUUGCACUCAGGUAUACGUAGCAGUUAUGCUACAUUCUCCCCCCCCACCCUUUUUUUUUUAACAAUUUUUUUAACACAAGUUUGAGCUAAGAAUGUAAACAUUUAUUAAUUAUAUAAAUAACUUUUAACAAUGGAUCUCUAGGCUCUCAUAUCGAUGAAGAACACAGUGAAAUGUGAUAAGUAAUGUGAAUUGCAGAAUUCAGUGAAUCAUUGAAUCUUUGAACGCACCUUGCACCUUUUGGUAUUCCAAAAGGUACACCUGUUUGAGUGUCAUGAAAAUCUCUCAUCAAAAUAAUUUUUGGUGGAUGUUGAGUGCUGCUGCUAUCUAGCUCACUUUAAAUAUAUAAGUCUUUUUAUUCUUCUGUUUGUUGGAUUGACUUGGUGUAAUAUUUUUAUCAUCAAGGAAAGUAGCAAUACUUGCCAACGUUUUUGGAAAAAGGACUCCUAAAUUGAUUUUAAAUCAUUUUUAUUUUUAAGACCUCAAAUCAGGUGGGACUACCUGCUGAACUUAAGCAUAUCAAUAAGCGGAGGA